UUUGUAUCCAAGAAAACAAAUUGCUGUAUUUCUACAAUAUUCUAUUAGAAUGAUAUUCCGGGAGAAUAACACAUUGUGCACUUGCUAUGUGGCAAUUCCAACACGACAUUGGAUUUAUGUAUAUUUGAUAAAACUGUAUUACAUGUAACUACAAAAAAAAACUAAACUCCACUUACAUAUCUAUAGGCCAAGGAUACAGACAUCUGAGUAUCUGACCUUUGUAGAAACAUAUAUUGGUGAGAGGGAAAUAAGCCAAACAGUGUUUGGCGUCCCCCGCCAAUAUUAUUUUAGCAAAGGGAUUCAUCAUUACAAAGUUUC